AAGCGAAACCCACAAAUGCUCAGACGGUUCCGUUCUUCUGAAGAGAGUGGAGGUACCUUAACACGGCUCGCUCGCUCGACAAAAAGAAAAAACGUGCGCGUGCCCGUUAUUCACUGAUGGUCAUCCCAGUUACAUCGACACGAUUCUCGGGAGAAAGGAAAUUCUUAUUGUUUAUCCUGUUCGGUGGUUUGAAACAAGCGACAAAAGUGAACCCAUUGUUAAUCGUGUUAAUAAUAAAUAAUCAUACCAAUAUAUAAAUACAUUCAUUUGUGAAUAGCUAUGUAUAUACCAGUGAAUCGUCGAUAACACGAAACAUUACCGAUUAUUAGAACGAGUAAACACUGCGUAGGUUGUGAUUUUCCUUGUGUGUUGUUUCGCGUACGCGCUCAACGAUAUCGGUUGGUAGCUUAUUUUGUACUGUGGAUAUAAACUUUCGAUAGCCUUUCGUUAACGAAUAAGAAGAAAAAAAAAAAAAAAAAAAAGAAACAGUACCAGGAUCUGCGCGACUUUUAUUGUGUUUUCGUAAAUGUAACGGCGUGUCGUUCGAGACAUUUGAGAAUCGAUUGAUCGAACGCCGGUUAUACUCGAGUUUAAUUACGGGUGUCCGUCGCGACGUGACGCGUGAAUCAAAAGGUUGCAUCGACGAAACUGUGCAGUCUUGAAACUAGCAGUGGCCGCGCGGUUAGAAAAGCCGAGAUAAUAUCAAGUGUGAUCAGUGCAUCCAGUUUUGGAGCGGAGCUAGUGACGUAUAUAAGCUUAUUCCGUUUUUAAUUGUACUCGAGUCGGAUGAAGAAGCGAUCAGAGGGACAAUCAACGGUCGAUGAAAAAUAAAUCGGUUGUGAUGUUUGCGAGCGAAACAUCCCGUACGAGCGUAAUCUUAAUUAUCGGGUGAGUCGCGAGAUCCGGCUUUCGUCGCAAGGGCUAAAAGAAAGCAGGUAUAGCCGUGUGCGUGUAUGUGCGUGCGUGCGCGGCAUUGAGACACGGUGGUUCGGCCUUGAGCGACUCGAUAACCGAUAACGUCCGUUAUUUUCCCUGGCGACGAGUUCAUACAAAAGGGCGGCAAGCUGUUCGGGCACAGGGAGGAGGAUAUGCUAACGAUGGAUACGGAGUUGAAAGGCAGCAGCAUGCACGGCCAAAUGCCUCCACAUCCUCAUCAAGGUGUAGCACCGAUGGGCCAUCACGCGGGUGUAUCGCCUUACGGGCCACUUGGCUCGAUAGUACAUAGUCCGGCUCUUUCCGGAAGUCCUCCGAGCUCCGGAGGUCUCGGUGGUCUCAGCCUGCAGCACCAUCAUCAGGCGGCCGCCCAACAGCAUCAUUACGCCUCGAUGCAGGUUGCCCAACAACAGCAACAGCAGCAACAACAUCAAACGAUGCACGCAUUGGCCUCGCAGCAACAGGCUGCCGCGGCUGCCCAGCAUCAUUCUCAUCAGCAGCAACAGCAACAACAGCAUUCCCAGCAGCAACAGCAGCAGCAGCAGCAGCAGGCCCAACAACAACAGGCGCAGCAACAACAGCAUCAGCCACCAAACAACAACAAUAAUACGAGUAAGAACAACAACAUCGAUCGGGUGAAGAGGCCGAUGAACGCUUUCAUGGUGUGGUCGAGAGGUCAACGUCGUAAGAUGGCCCAGGAGAAUCCAAAGAUGCACAAUUCCGAGAUAUCGAAGAGACUCGGAGCGGAGUGGAAGCUGCUCAGCGAAACGGAGAAACGUCCGUUCAUCGAUGAGGCCAAAAGGCUGCGAGCGGUCCACAUGAAGGAACAUCCCGAUUACAAGUACCGGCCACGAAGGAAGACAAAGACUCUUUUGAAGAAGGACAAAUUCCCGUUGGGCGGUGGUGUUACCGGAGUCGGUGGCAUGCUAGGAGUCGAUCAACGCCAAGUCAGCUCCGCCGGUGGACCCCAACAGUCUCAACUGCCCCGGGACGUUUAUCAAAUGCCGAAUGGAUACAUGCCGAACGGUUACAUGAUGCACGACCCGACGGCCGCGGCUUAUCAACAACACGCUUACGGCGGACACAUGGGUGCCGCUGCGGCUGCAGUCGCCGCUGCCGGAUAUCCUCGCUACGACAUGGGCCACCAUAUGGGGGGAGGCAGUCCAAGUCCCAUAAACAGCUACAUGAACGGUUACGGUGGUUACGGGGCGACAACGAUACCCGGAGGUUCACCCUCGCCUUAUCAUCAGGCCCAACCCGGCUCUCAAAUGUCCAGUCAUAGCCCAAGCGGUAGCAGCGUCAAAUCCGAACCUACGAGUCCGGCGAGCGGCGGUUUGCACACGCCGACACCCAGCGGCGGUUCCUCCGGUGGAAGUGGCGGUGGCGGCGUUAAUUCCGCCGGACCUGUAUCCAAUAUCAAAAGGGAAUACAUGGGACAACACAGCCAACAACCACAGGGUGAUCUCAGACAAAUGAUCUCGAUGUACCUGCCCCAGGGAGGUGAACAGGGCGUCGUACAGCACGGUGCUGGUGUUUACUCACCAGGACCAUCCCCCGAUUCGUUGGCUCAACAUCAUUCUGCCAUUCCACAACUCGCCCACAUGUCGGAAAGUGAUCGCAAAAUGUUGAAUCCUGAGACCGGUUGUUAUUCAGAAUCCGUUCGCGCAUGGGACUGGAGCGCAACGGGCAACGUUCGCGUCCAAGAGUCCUGGCCAACGUGAGCGCAUGUAGGCACCGUAGGAGAUUUCAAAAACCUCUCUUUCACUAUCCAACAAUUCCACAGCCAUAAGGAUCGGGCACCUUGAUCGUUUCGCGCAGCACGAUAACCUGUGCUCACGUGCCAAUGACAAUCCGCAAGCUGCCCCCAUCAUGCGUGUGUGAUAUACUGCCCAAUAUUUCCCCUUCCAAAUUCACGCGGAACAAAAGAAAAAAAAUACAGUUAUACGAAAAAGCGAACAAAAUAUGUAUAAUUAAGCGUGUUUUAAUAAGGUUUUUAUGUAGGUCCUACGAGUAAGGUGUAUAUUAUAAAUAAAACAAAACAAAAAUAUAAGUGUUAAAUAAACGAACCUCUCGUUAAUGGAGGAUUCAUCAUUA
rnacentral:misc_RNA from 1 species